rnacentral:SRP_RNA from 1 species
GCCGGGCGUGGUGGCUCACGCCUGUAAUCCCAGCACUUUGGGAGGCCGAGGCAGGCGGAUCACCUGAGGUCGGGAGUUCAAGACCAGCCUGACCAACAUGGAGAAACCCUGUCUCCA